GCAUAAUCAAUAGUUUUUUAAUUGGGAACUGGAAUGAAGGGUUAAGACUAAAGAGAGGGUUUUAUUUUAUGACUUUGAAUUUAAAUUAAAAGUAAAAAUGCUUUUAUAGGACUUUGGGACGAGAAGACCCUAGAAGCUUAAAAUUUUUGAAAUUUUUUGUUGGGGUAACAUUUGAAGGUAAAGAUUUUUAUAGAAAGAAGAAAAGAAAAUAAAGUUACUCUAGGGAUAACAGCAUUAUUUAGUUAGCGAGUUCUUAUUAAUAAUUAAGUUUGUGACCUCGAUGUUGAAUUAAUUUAAAUUUUUGGUGAAGGAGCUGAAAAAGGGUAGUCUGUUCGACUAUUAAAAAAUUACGUGAUCU
rnacentral:rRNA from 1 species